UUGUUGCAGUUAAAAAGCUCGUAGUUGGAUUUCGGAGUGGGCCAGUUGGUCCGCCGCAAGGUGUGUUACUGACUGGUCGGCUCUUCUUCGCAAAGACUGCGUGUGCUCUUUGUUGAGUGUGCGUAGGAUUUACGACGUUUACUUUGAAAAAAUUAGAGUGUUCAAGGCAGGCUAUUGCUUGAAUACAUGAGCAUGGAAUAAUGGAAUAGGACUUUGGUCCCAUUUUGUUGGUUUCUAGGACCGAAGUAAUGAUUAAGAGGGACAAUUGGGGGCAUCCGUAUUUCGUUGUCAGAGGUGAAAUUCUUGGAUUUACGAAAGACGAACAACUGCGAAAGCACCUUGCCAAGAGUGUUUUCAUUAAUUCCAAGAACGAAAGCUAGAGGAUCGAAGACGAUUCAGGAUACCGUCCUAGUUCUAACCAUAAACGAUGUCUACUACGGAU
rnacentral:rRNA from 1 species